CAGUCCUUUAAUCAGCCAGCGUGGAGAAGAGACCUGCACCUGAGAGACUCUAUUCUGGGAUUACGCAAAGAGGACAAGAUCCAGACUCCUGGAAUCACUGACCUAACACCUGCCUGAUACUGGUCGGGUUGCAGCUGAAAGAGAGCCGGUGACUUCUUCAUGAAAAAGUCGCACUGCGGAAUCUUUUUUCAUUCCUGCCCCCGGGAGUGGACAGAUGGAAAGUCAAAAACUGAAUUUGUGGAGAAUUCGGAGGACUGGUGUAAUCCCACUUUUCUGACUUAUACAGAUGCUCAUCAGCAGCAAUUCACUUUAUCCCAGAGAUACUGAACUGUCAGAAAGUCAGCCAAUUCAGGAUCACCAAAGGAGGCAGAUCCUACUCCAGCACGCAAUGGGCUCAAGGCAGGCUAUAACCCGGAUGGGAUGCCAGUCCAUUGCAGGGGAGACACAGACAAACACAUAAGAGCUGAUCUUCCCUUAUAACAGUUAAGUUACCAGUAAGUCUUUCAAAUGUGGGAGGAAACUGAAGCACCCGGAGGAAACCUCUGCAAACACGGGUAGGACAUAGACACUUAAUUUUUGGGUGUUGUUAUUUCUUGUGAAAUCCUUUUAAACUUACAUCUUAACCAAUGCACUUUACACCCAGGAUCCAGGAUGUGAAGUGAGUCAUGCUGGUUGCUUUGGGAAGAUACAAGAUGGAACAAGUCUGUAUCAUCUGUUGCAACGUCAGUGGUACGGUUUACUAGGUACAGGGAAGGCUGUACUUUAGGCAAUCCCUCUUCAUAUAGGACAUCCUGAAGUCAGACUCUCUCCUGGCUGCCCCAGAGGCCUGACUUUGUUGUUGACUGAAUUACACUCUUUAACCAGGUGGCCCUGUGUUUAGUAAUUAACUGGUGACGCACAAAUGGUUUACACUGAGGUCUGGCAGCAUUCCUGACUCCAUUAUUAUGAUGUAACUAGCAGCAAUAAAUUACAAUAAAAAAUCAGAAAUAAAGUGUUUCAUUCUCUUAGAAAAUUG